rnacentral:rRNA from 1 species
UACAGAGGGUGCGAGCGUUAAUCGGAAUUACUGGGCGUAAAGCGCGCGUAGGCGGCUUUGCAAGUCGGGUGUGAAAUCCCCAGGCUUAACCUGGGAACUGCAUUUGUGACUGCACAGCUGGAGUGCGGCAGAGGGGGAUGGAAUUCCGCGUGUAGCAGUGAAAUGCGUAGAUAUGCGGAGGAACACCGAUGGCGAAGGCAAUCCCCUGGGCCUGCACUGACGCUCAUGCACGAAAGCGUGGGGAGCAAACAGG